UACGUAGGGGGCGAGCGUUGUCCGGAUUUACUGGGCGUAAAGAGCGCGCAGGCGGUUUGAUAAGUUACUCGUGAAAGUCCUCGGCUCAACCGAGGGAGGUCGGGUGAUACUGUCAGACUGGAGUGUGGAAGAGGAAAGUGGAAUUCCCGGUGUAGUGGUGAAAUGCGUAGAUAUCGGGAGGAACACCAGUGGCGAAGGCGACUUUCUGGUCCACUACUGACGCUGAGGCGCGAAGGCCAGGGGAGCGAACGGG
rnacentral:rRNA from 1 species